rnacentral:tRNA from 1 species
GCGCCGCUAGCUCAGUGGUAGAGCAUCUGACUUUUAAUCAGGUGGUCCUGGGUUCGAUCCCCAGGCGGCGCACCA